GCGCCAUUGGGAUUUUAAGAUUGGAGCAUCCAGAGCAAGUUUUCUGGUUGUGAAAUGAAACAUGUCCUUUGGGUACAUAUCCUUAGUCUCCCUCUGUUGCUGAGGCUGGCCUGUACUGCCGUGAUCUCAGCUCACCGCAACCUCUCUGCCUCGGGCUCCUGUGAUACUCCUGCCUCGGCCUGCUGAGUGCCUGGGAUUGCAGGUGCCCGCCACCACGCCUGACUGGUUUUUGUAUUUUUGGUGGAGACGGGAUUUCGCCAUGUUGACCGGGCUGGUCUCCAGCUCCUGGCCUCGAGUGAUCUGCCCGCCUCGGCCUCCCGAGGUGCUGGGAUUGCAGACGGAGUCUCGCUCACUCAAUGCUCAAUGUUGCCCAGGCUGGAGUGCAGUGGCAUGAUCUCGGCUCACUACAACCUCCACCUCCCAGCCGCCUGCCUUGGCCUCCCAAAGUGCUAAGAUUACAGCCUCUGCCCGGCCGCCACCCCAUCUAGGAAGUGAGGAGCAUCUCUGCCUGGCCGCCCAUCAUCUGGGAUGUGAGGAGCUCCUCUUCCCGGCUGCUGCAUCUGGGAAGUGAGGAGCACCUCUGCCCGGCUGGCCCAUCUGGGAAGUGAGGAGCUCCUCUGCCCAGCCGCCAUCCCGUAUAGGAAGUGAGGAGCGUCUCUGCCUGGCCGCCCAUUGUCUGGGAUGUGAGGAGCGCCUAGGCCCAGCCACCCCAUCUGGGAAGUGAGGAGCGCCUCUGCCCGGCUGCCCCGUCUGGGAGGUGAGGAGCGCCUCUGACUGGCCGCCACCCCAUCUGGGAGGAAGUGAGGAGCGCCUCUGCCCAGCUGCCCCUUCUGGGAAGUGAGGAGUGCUUCUGCCCAGCCACCCCGUCUGGGAGGUGAGGAGCACCUCUGCCCGGCUGCCCCGUCUGGGAGGUGAGGAGCGCCUCUGCCCGGCCACCCCAUGUGGGAGGUGAGGAGCACCUCUGCCCGGCCGCCCCGUCUGGAAGGUAAGGAGCGCCUCUGCCUGGCCGCCACCCUGUCUGGGAGGAAGUGAGGAGCGCCUCUACCUGGCUGCCCCAUCUGGGAGGUGAGGAGCGCCUCUGUCCGGCCGCCCCAUCUGGGAGGUGAGGAGCGCCUCUGCCCGGCCGCCCGGUGUGGGAGGGGAGGAGCACCUAUGCCCGGCCGCCCAUUAUCUGGGAUGUGAGGAGCACCUCUGCCUGGCCACCCAUCAUCUGGGAUGUGAGGAGCGCCUCUGCCUGGCCGCCCCAUCUGGGAGGUGUACCCAACAGCACCGAAGAGACAGCGACCAUCGAGAACAGGCCAUGAUGACGAUGGCAGUUUUGUUGAAAAGAAAAGGGGGAAAUUUGGGGAAAAGAAAGAUCAGAUUGUUACUGUGUCUGUGUAGAAAGAAGUAGGCAUAGGUGACUCCAUUUUGUUCUGUACUAGGAGAAAUUCUUCUGCCUUGGGAUGCUGUUGAUCUAUGGCCUUGCCCCCAGCCCCGUGCUCUCUGAAACAUAUGCUGUGUCAACUCAGGGUUAAAUGGAUUAAGGGCGGUGCAAGAUGUGCUUUGUUAAACAGAUGCUUGAAGGCAGCAUGCUCUUUAAGAGUCAUCACCACUCCCUAAUCUCAAGUACCCAGGGGCACAAACACUGCAGAAGGCCGCAGGGACCUCUGCCUAGGAAAACCAGAGACCUUUGUUCAUGUGUUUAUCUGUUGACCUUCUCUCCACUAUUAUCCUAUGACCCUGCCAUAUCCCCCUCUCCGAGAAACACCCAAGAAUGAUCAAUAAAUACGUAAAAAAAAAAAUUAUUUUGUGCUUCUUUAUAUGAGUUACAUUAAAAAUCUUCUUUUAUAAAUUGCAGUCCAGAUUCCAUGUUUAAUACAUUUCUUCCAUGUGUUACUUGAGUGAAAAUUUACGGGCUACAUAAAUGUGGCUGUUGUUUGGAAAGAAAAUGUUGUGACAUUAGUAUGCACACAAGACCAUGGGAAGUACAAACUAGGUUUCCUGUAAAUAUGAGAAAGGAAAAAAAUGCUUUUACUAUGUUAGAAGACUUAAAAUGACAUGAAGUGAUUCCAGUCUUUCUGUUGUUAUUCUGAUGUUUUAGCUAUUUUAGAUUUUGGGGUUUGGUUUUUUUUGUUUCAUUGCCUUUCUACAUAAUUGGAUAACCUUGUUAGUAUCUGCAGAAUGCCCUGAUUAGGAAAUGUGUUAACCCUAUGUGUCAAUUUGGUAUAAUUUCAUAUUGUUUUCAUAUUGUUUUAUGUGGAGUCUUCCAAUAUAUGUAUAUUGUAUAU